AACCCUGCCAUCGAAAGCCCCUCGGCCCAAUCCAAUCACCCGCACUCCACAACCCUCCCUCCCUCCUCGAUCUCUCUCCCUCAGCCACCACAAACCCUAGGUCCUGCCCUUCUACCUUGCUCUCGACCGCGCCUCCUCCUCCUCCCCUUCACCAUUCCCUCCAGCGGCAGGAACAGGGAGACAACGGCGGCGCUCGAUUUGAUCCGCCCCGCUCCCCUCCCUCUCCACUGCGCCUCGGCCUCGGCCGCCCCGUGCUCUGCCGGCGCCCGUCGGCCUCGAUCCGGCCUCGGCAGGAGGAGCUCAGCCUCGAGACAGGAGGAAGGGAGCAGCAGGAUACAGGAGCAUGACCUUCUUCUCGCGCUGCAGCCGCCGGCCUUGUCCUGCUCGAGGAGGAGGAGCAGCAGGAGGGGCGCACCCAGCCACAAAGGUAGCCAUCGUUGAGGGCUUCUUACACCUGAACCUCGAUCUCCAUGGUGCUGGCGUCCAGCAACUCGAGUUCAAGGGAAGGAGAGGAGGAUGACGCCCAGACAUGGAUAGGAACAGCAGCAGCUCAAGAAAAAUGAAGCAAGACAAGCUGGAGAAGCUCGCACGGACAUCCAAUUUCUUGUACCACUCAACUGAGCCGAGUUACUUGUGGAGACUAUAAGAAGAAUUUUUAGGAAGAGUUUGAUCAAGAAGAGCAAGGCUGACACCCAUAGUUGUUUGGCAUCAAAUGCAGAAGAUACACAUCCUAAGAUUGAAGCAAUGCUACCUGAACCAAAGGGCAAAGAGAAGACGAGGUCGAACCCCAACACCGGAAGGUAUCUUGGCACCAAACCAUCAUGAGGAGAAGGGGAUGUGUUGAUGUACAUGAGAUAAGCAGCCCUGUUCAGAAGUGCUUUAUAGAGGUCAUGUAAGCUUUCUAGACAUACAUGUUGUUUCCAGUCUCUCUCGGCUUCCCCAAUCCUAGAGAUUAAAGGCGGCCAAGGCCAGGGAGUACGA